ACUAAUAUAGUUUAAAAUAAAACAUUAAUUUUGUAAAUUAAAAAUAUUUAUUUAAUCCAAUUAAUUAAUAGUA
rnacentral:tRNA from 1 species